CACAGGUGAGGGGCUGGGCCCUGGGCAGGUGAGUGCAGAGGGCGGGCUGGGCCCUGGGCAGGUGAGUGCAGAGGGCGGGCUGGUCUCAGGGCAGGUGAGUGCAGAGGGCGGGCUGGGCCCUGGGCAGGUGAGUGCAGAGGGCGGGCUGGUCUCAGGGCAGGUGAGUGCAGAGGGCGGGCUGGGCCCUGGGCAGGUGACCACAGGUGAGGGGCUGGGCCCUGGGCAGGUGACCACAGGUGAGGGGCUGGGCCCUGGGCAGGUGACCACAGGUGAGGGGCUGGUUUCUGAACUGGUGAGUGCAGAGGGCAGGCUGGUUCCAUGGGCUGGUUGCUACAGGCUAUGGGCCAGGGUUCCACUUUUGCACCUGGUCUGGCCGUGUCCAUGCGCACAGUCAGUCUCUCGUUCUGAAGUGACGAGGGCUCCCUGUCUCAGGCUUGGCUGGAGCACAGACCCCGGACCCACCCUCGGAGCCCAGCUUCGUUUCCGAGCACCCUUCCUGGGUGAUGCACGGGGCUUAGCCCCGCCCAGGAGUGACCGCUGGCCUUUCUGGCUGUUUUGUUCUCCUCUGAGUGACCACUUUAUCCGAGGGCUCGGCCCCACACGGCCAGCACUCUGACGUGGUCUUCAUGGGGGGGGAGGGUGCUUCAAACCUGCAAAAGGAGGGCCGUGUGAGGAGAGGCCCUCUGGUUUCUCCCGCGAGGUUGGCCCCCAUCCUCUAACCAGGGGGAACGGGCCUGAAAAGACGCCAGUGCCUUGGAGCUAAAACGCGGAAAGAGAGCAACAGUGUCCUUCCUUGAGAACACCUGCCUCCAGGCUUUGUGAUAGGAGAGCAACACCCCUGCUCUUUGGGGCAAAGAGAGUCCGAAGGCUCUGCCCUACAGGGACUGCGUGGUCCUCUUCUCAGAAAUGUCGGACGCUGGGUACUUACUGAUGGGAAUUUGUACCGAGUCCAUCCUGGGGAAAUGUUCAAGUCCAACGCUGGAGCGAAAGAUGUUCCAGGGAAGCUUGCUGUCACCUCGUGGCAGCGCGUGGCCUGUGACAGCUGCACAGCUGGGGGGUGUGCGGGGGUAUCAGGGCCCCAGGCGAGGCCCUGACGUUUCAGCCUUUGACUUCAGAGAGCUGAACGCUGGCUGUAUUCCCACGUAACUACUGCACUUGGAGGAAAGUAAGAACAAGUGGGUUUGCAGUUUACAGUUGUUAUUCUAAACAUUCCCUUUGUGAGUAAAAAAUCCACCCAUAGGUUUGUAAAACAACGGCCGUCCUGCUACAGGGCAAACAGCCCUGCUUCCUGUAACCUGAAGGGAAAACACGCCAGGAAUUCUCCUUGAGGAGCCGCCGGCGGGAAGGGCCGGGUGGGACCAGAGGGGACUCAGGGUCCCGAGCGCCUCCGCAGCGGAAUGUCGCUCAGGAGUUGAUGUUCUGUGUCCUCUGCCCAGAGAAACGUCUCAUUCGUUUUGGUUGUAAAGCAGCCAUUUGAAAACUUUUAAAAAGCACUAAUGUUUCACACAAGGUCAGCAAUUCAGAUAAUUGUUUAAAACUCUUCAAAAUGAUGCCCAUAGAUUUUACAGUCACUCUGAGGAUACAGAAAUGUUUUCCAAAGGCUCAGAGCUCACCGUGCUGUGGAGGCAGUUCACACAAGGCAACAAAAGGUCAGAGCAGCAGCAGGGGAGGCGCACGGGGCCUGGCCCGGAGGAGGGGCGCACAGGCCCUCCCGGGGGCCAUCCCCAAUGGGUGGACCGUCCAUGCGGGAGCCUGAGGGGAGGGACAGGCAGGGCAGGGCCGCAGCCGCUCUGCCCAGUGUUCCCCCAGAGUACAAGAGGCGUGGGUCCUCCAAGACCCCUCAGAGGCACGUCCUAGGGAAAAGCUGUCCAAGACACAAAAUAAAGGGAAGCUUGUAUGCUGCCAUUACAAGGACCUUUUUACCUGCGGGCACUCACCCCUAAGAGACUCUGCCAUUUCUUCAAGCUGUCACAUGUCACCGGGAGAGACGCGUGAAAGCAUCAAAUGACAGCAAACCUGUGACAACGUUUGAAAUCUCCUGCCCUCAGAGGAGGGCAGGCAGCAGUUGGCGAGGUGAUUUUGGCCCAUCUAUGCACAAAAGACCCCCUUCCUCAUGUUUUGCUACAUAAUGUAUAAAAUAUUGAUUAUUGCCACAGACUAUCUUUUUUAAAGGAAAAGAUAGCAGGUGUGUUUGUAUUUGCGUGUUUAGGAUUUGCAGUCUAAUUAACCCUAAAAUGGGUCUGUGAGUUCACACAAUUAAAACAGCACACAGCAAAACCAAGUGAAGCGAGCAGAGCAUCAGAUUCCACCCCGGGGCACCUGCCACUGCGCACGAUGAUCUCCUUCUGAAUUAGGUGUGGCUCUCCCCUUGGAAGCUGGGCAGGGACACCGAACGGCCGGCUUCUGGAACUGGGGCAAAGCACCUUAAUUUCUGACGAAAAUUAUUAAAACCAAGUGUGUUUAGCUGUUUAACUCAUUUACGUGAGAGGAACUGAAAGAAGGAGUUGUCAGGAAAAGGUAGAAACUUUCCACAUUCACGGGAUGCGCCAGGAGCUGCAGGAAGGAAGACGCCUCAGGAGCCUCCGUGUGUGACCAGGACGGAGUCUGGGGCUGGAAACGGCUCAUGCUGCUCCCAAGCUGGCAACGUUGGAGGCCAAGUAGAAAAACAGAGGAAUUCCAAGCAUUUAGAGGCAAACCGGUAACUGGGGAGAGCGACAGGGACCCCAGGUGCUGGCUCUCCUGUGUCCGGGUGGGUCCUGGGUCUUCCUUCCUCAGGGAAUUGGGACGAUUCCAUCUGGGGAAGGGGCCAGGUGGCAAGUUUCCAGUUGAAGGAAAUGCAGUUAUUACUAAACUCUUUGAUGCCUAGAACCCCCGUCAAAAUGCUCUAGAGGAAGGAGACGGAAGGAGAAGGAGAAGGAGAAGAGGAGGGAGAAGCAAAAUGCUCUAGAGGAAGGAGACAGAAGGAGAAGGAGGAGGAGAAGAGGAGGGAGAAGACGGUCCACUCUCUGCACACAGAGAAUCUUUGCCUAGGAACAGCAACAUUCUGAGAGUCCUUGUACUGAGAACCAGAGGACAGGGGUCCUCUCAGGCCGUCUGUUUCCUCAUCUGAGGGCAACUGGGUUCUCCUUACAGGGCUCCAUCAGCUCCUACUUCCUGAAUGAACACUCCUCUCAGCCCAGGCUGGGUCGCGGGGUCUGUGAAAAACAGCUGAACUCUAGCAACUUGUUUAAAGACGAGACAGAUUUAGGGAAAAUUCAGAUACGGCUCAGUAGGCUCAGUAACCUAUUCUCUGAAGGAAAAGGGUACUUUUACAGGACAGACAGCAAAGAUGAAUAUGUUAAAGCUUGAUAGUUCGUUGCCCACGUGGUAUCCCUGCGAAGACUGAUUUAUUUUCAAAUAGGAACGUCUACUGCAUCACCCCCAGAUGUUUCUCUUUUACCUCAAUAGGUAACUUUUACCUCCAAAAGGUCAAAUAUUGUUUCUACUUCCUGUCCUCAUGUAAAAAUCAAGAACCCUUUCUAACACGUUUCUAAUUGUACUCCAGGCUCAUCUUCCUCUAAUCACGUUCAGUGUACAAUUGUGACAAAAGUGACAUUUUUUCCCCUUUUUCUUGGGCCAAGGAUGCUGCCACAGAAAAAUAAUUCCUGCCUAUUUCGAACUCUGUGGCACCAAUCUGAAAUAAUGGCUAAUCACCGAGCUCAUCAUUUGGAACCGCUGGGUAAUCCACCCAGCAGUGUGGGAGCAGGGCUACAGCUGCCCCGAGGAAGGUCCUGCAGGAUGACCCAGGAAAAUGGGGGCAGAAAUGAGAGAGAGGGGAGAGGGAGACAGACAGAGCACAGGAGCUACUGCCUCUGAUUAGAAAUUGCUUUAAAAUUACAUAUAAACGGUGACAGCCAAGUGGUCUGCCUGUUCCAUGAUGUACUCUCUGAGUCAAUUGACUCAUUUUCUCCCAGGACAUUGAUAAGACUUUCUCAAGGCUUUUUUUAAAUCUAGGAGAUAUUAAGUACCUCUUAAUGCUCUUUGUAGAACAGAACCCUUUCUACCAACUUAUGUCUCUGUGAUAGGAAGGGAAAAGUUAUGUUCUCAUCUUACCCACUAGAGCUGCCUAUAGGUAAAGAAAUCUCAGAAUCUUGUCCCACUGGGGAGAUGAGUAUGAAUAUUAUUUUGACAGAAAUUGUACCCAAGUUAGACCCCGUGAAUAUGGGAUUUAAAAGUGGGAAUUCGUGUGGUCCCUACUGAAACAUGAAGCAUGCAAGUCUGCAGCGCCAUCAAUUCAAAAGCCAGUUUUUAAGGGUUCUUAACACAUAUAAUCGUCCCCCGGAUCCUCGGGGAAGUGUUCCAGGACCCCCCGUGGAUGCCUGAGACCGCAGAGAGUACCGGACCCUACAUACACGAUGUGUUUCCUGUCCACACACCCCUGUGACAGAGUUGUAAUUUAUAAGCUAGGCACAGUGUGCCGAGUUCCCAGCAUCACUCCUCCUGAGCUUUGGGGUUGUUACUAAGUAAAGUAAGGCGCUUGAAAACACGCUGUGACACCUCGGCAGUUGAUCUGAUAACCAAGACGGCUACUAAGUGACUGACAAGCAGGAGGUGCUGGUCGAAGGGGUGAUUCAUGCCCCGGGCAGGACGGAACAAGAUUUCAUCACGAUGCUCAGACGGUGCACAAUUUAAAAUUUAUGAAGUGCUUUUUACUUCUGGAAUUUUCCAUUUAAUAUUUUCAGAUCACAGUUGACCACAGGUAAUUGAAAUUGCGGAAAGAGAAACCGUGGAUGGGUGAGGGCUACCAUAUUUCAACGAACGACGGCCAGAACACAAAAAGUAGAGCCUGGCCCACACCUGCAGCAGGCAGCCCAGGGCCCAGCCCAUCCUCUGCAGUCUCGGCCCAGGGCCCAGCCUGCGGAGGUCACACGUGUAGGGGGUCCUGCAGCCAGUCCAGGAAGCCCAACAACAACCCGGUGACAGUCGACCAAGCGGCCAGGACUGGAUCGUCACUGACCGCUGCCCUGAGUCUGUCCCCGCUUCCCCCGAGGACCAGCCAGAGACACCAGUCCUGAGGAAGCCCUUCUAGUUGGGCGCACUGCACCUGCCCCACCUCAGCCUCCGUGAGGGCCCCCAAAUACCCUCCCUUCUCCCCCUGGACAGCUGCCCCACGGCCCUGCCUGCCUUUCAGCCUCUCCCAAAGGCUCCUGACCAAGGCCAGCCCCCCUCCCCAGCAGGCUCUGUGUGAACGGCCUCUGCCCACUCUCAUCUGGGCGGUUUUCAUUUAUUUCCACAAGAUUGAUUGGAUUUUCUUGGUGUCCUGACAUCAGCAGUCCUUAGGCACUGGUGUAGAUCUGUUUGUUUUCCCUUCUCAAAGUACCGUAUAUUCUUGGUAUCAGUAAUCUGUAACAUCUACGGAUGAACUGAUCUGACCAGCAUAUACUACGUGCAGCUUUGAGGAAAGCCCCUUAAUCUGUCAACCCAUGGAAACACUGUCUAGCUUGUAGCAUUUCCAUUAUUUGAGGUGCAAUUUCAAAUCCUGCAGCAACAUGCCAUCAGAUUACUCUGUGGGAAAGGAUGGAAGGGGUACAAUUCUGCCGUUGCGUUCUCCUUAACCUCCUCCCCAUGUGCUGCGUUUCAGAUGGGACGUAUUUUUCUCUGCUCCUAGACCCCACUCAUCUUCACCGAAGACGUUCAUUCCCUUUGCAGAAUGAAUACACGUCUUUAGGACCUGUCUUCCCUAAAGCCCUUCUUAUCAGCAAAAUUACUGUCUAUCUGUGUCAGCCAUGCCUUUCUCCUGCAAGGGAACUCCACAGGUGGCACACCCGUGAAUGCCACUUCCUUGAUGAGUUCCAGACCCUGGAUUUUCCAGGAGAAUCUCAUUUUUAAUGAACAAGGAUCCUUCAGAAAGGCUUAGGCAAGUGACAGGCAGAAUUGCUUUGUGGGUUGAUUCAUUUAAAUUUAUUCAAUCAACCAGUAGUGAUUAAGUACCUAUUCUGUGCGAGGCUCUGAACGCACGUGAGGCUCUGAACGCACGUGAGUAAGACGGCGCGCGCUGCCCCCAGGGGUUCUCGGUCCAGCUGGGCACACGGUCACGAGGCCACAGCCGUGGUGAGAGGUGUAAUCAGGCUCUCCCAGCACAGAUAAGCACUUACCUCUCUGGACAUUUUAUUUCUCGUGGCUCACGUACCGUAUUUCAUUCUUAUGAAGACAGUGGAAACACUGCGCAAAGCUCACUCACUCCUAUUUCUCACAUCUCAGCAUCUGGUACUUAUGCCCAAUACGUGUUUGUUGAAUGAGUGAAUGAAGGAAUGAAUGAAGGCUAGCUUGAGAAGUCCAACCGUGCCUCCAAGUCCCUCUCUGUCCCUGCGGGGCCAGGACUCAGGCCCAACAGUGGAGGCCGAGCAGACGUGGAGACUGACGCCUCACCGCUUGGCGCCCCGGACGCCCCUGCGCCGGCAUGUCCGCGAGAUGUUAUGUUUAUGCCGAAGCUACCAGGGCCGACUGGCGCCUUCAGUGGAGCUACUCCCGGUCCACGGGUAACCCGACCCCGCAGAAUCCUAUCUGGAGAUUUUUAUUGUGUUUAGAGAUUUGGCUGGGAACAUUCCCGCAGAGAUAGACAGAUUCACAUUCUUGAGAAUUUUUAAUGUCAUUGGAAAAUUCUUAAUACAUGACAUUUAACGAAAAAGGAUGGAUGAAGAAUUUGAAUUGAGGGUAUAAUUUUUUUAAGAGGUAGAGAAAAGAUUGAACGGAAAAAUGCUUACACGCUUAAACAGAAAUUCGAAAUGGGGCUUCCCCAAAUGCAGUGAAUGUUUUUUGUGUGUGUCAGUUUCCUAUCGCCUCUGUGACAAAUUACCACAGUGUCUUACAAGGACACGGUUAUCUUACCGUCUGGAGUCAGGGGUCUGGAGUGGGUCUCCCUGGCCUAAAAUCAAGGCGUUCGCAGGGCUGUGUUCCUUCAGGAGGCCAGGGUGGGGUCUGUUCCUGCCUUUUCCAGCUUCCAGAGCUGCUGCCCUGCCCGGCCCCAGCCCCUCUGUCUUCAGCCUGUGCUGCCCUCUCUCUGGUUUAAGGCCCCUUGUGAUCACGCUGGGCCCACCCACAUUAUCCAGAAUAAUCUUCUCAUUUUAAGGUCAGCUGUUAACAAGUGCAAUUUUGGGGACUUCCCUGGUGGUCCAGUGGUAAAGAAUCUGCCUUAUAAUGCAGGGGACGCGGGUUCGAUCCCUUGUCAGGGAACGUACCGCGGGGCAACUAAGCCCCACGCCAUAACUACUGAGCCUGUGUGCUGUGCCGCCAACUACAGAGCCCACGUGCUCUGGAACCUGCGCACCACAACUACAGAGCCCACACACCCUGGAGCCUGUGCACCACAACUAGAGAGAAGUCCGAGCGCUGCAAUGAAAGAUCCUGCAUGCCUCAGCGAAGAUCCUGCGUGCCGCAACUAAGAAGCAACGCAGCCAAAAGUAAAUAAAUUAAAUAAUAAAUACAUCUUAAAAAACAAACAAACAAAAAAAAACCCCGCAAUUUCAACUGCAACCUGAAUUCUCCUUUGACCUAACAUAUCCGUAGGUUCUGGGGAUCAGAAUGUGGACGUCUUUGGGGGCCAUCGUUCUGCUGACACAUGGCGACUGUUGGGACUCAAUAUUAGUUUUACUUUACUUUGGUUUUUCCCAGUGUUGUUUAGAUUCUUCUUUUUUUUAAUGAACUUAUAUAAUUUUUAGAAUAAAGAUGUUUGUUUUACUUUUCUUAUAAUUUUUGGAAAAAAAUCUUUGUAUGAACUGGAUUUAAAUGUCUGCAUCACGUUUCAGUGUACGGAUGUCCAUUUGAGGAUUUUAUGAAUGGUAUUCAGGUAGGAAGUGUUGCUGUGCGGGGUGUGUAUGUGUGUGUGUGUGGUGUGUGUGUGUGUGUGGUGUGUCUGUAUUUGGUGUGUAUAGUGUGUGGUAUGUGUAGUGUGUGUUAUGGUGUGGGUGUGUGUGGUGUGUGUGUGGUGUGUGUGUAUGUGUAGUGUAUAGUGUGUGGUGUGUGUAGUAUGGUGUGUGUUAUGGUGUGUGUGUGUGUGUGGUGUGUGUGUGUGGUGUGUCUGUAUGUGUAUUCACGUGUGUAGUUCAGCCUUGUCCCUGCAGUGAAGUUCUGGAGAAGGACGCUGACGUCACUACUCAGCUCUGCACUGGCACACGAAGCGGCACAGUGGGUCACGGCCCCUUAAGGGCACCUUGUCACUUCCACACCUGCUGUUGUUAAGGGGGGGGAGGGGGUCUCGCUAAGUCCCAACUCUCAACUUUCUCAUCAAGACACUGAACUGGGUGCCGUGCACCCCACAAACGUCUGGCCUCUGCCUUGGGUAGGCCCCAGGCUAUGGCGCCCAUCCUGGAGGGGGUCCCCGCUGGGGUUUUGACGUGGACUAGAUUUAGGGGCUGGGGGUGAGCACGAGCUCGCUCCCCCAGUUGUCUGGCCUCUGGACCGUCCUCAGCCUCUUCAGGCUGCCCUUUGGCCCUCGGUGAGCACGGGGCUGGGCCACCAUGUGACACGCCCUGCUCUCCGCUCACGUGCUGGUCUCUGUGGUACCUGGGUCUCCACGAAGGGUUCAGAACACGCUCCCCCCGCACCCCAAACACACCGCGUUGGCAUCUUGAUUGCUCUGGGCCAAGGCAGCUGAGAAGCAGCAGUCUGGCCUCUCUACCUGAAAGCAGGGCAUGAACCUCCCCGUGAGGAAGGAGCCCCACCCUGCACCAGGGAGAGCAGAACAUUCUUAGCACUGGAGAAGGGGUUCGAUGCAGAAAGGGGUCUGGGCAAGCCCAGUAACAUGACCCUGAUCUCCUGUUGAGGCCUGUAUGUUUCCUAGUCUCUGUGCCACAGUUUACCUCGUCACAGCGCCAGGACUUAUCAUGUCUUUGUUUAAGAAGUGUACGAGCUCUGGAUCCUAACUGCUUCUUCAGUCUUCAUUUUCCUUAUGAAGACUCCUCUGUGUACACAAAAAUAUUAAAUAAAAUCUAUAUGUGCUUUUCUCCUGCUAAUCUGUCUUAUGUUGGUUUAAUUCUCAGGCCCCAUCACAGAGCCUAAGAGGGUGGAGGGAAGUUUUUCCUCCCUACAAAACCUUGAAACCUAAUUUGUGCAAUGGAAACUGUGAUUGGCUUAGUUAGGGUGGGUUAUCCGCCGGUCCACUGAGUAAAAUCUGCCAUGAGCAGGGGCCUGCGGUGGCAGGGACACCCCGUCAUCAGCAGUGGAGGUGGAUGGAGGGUUCUCGGGGGAGGGGCUGACCCGGAGAGGCCUCCUUGAGGGUGUCUGCCUGGCCUUUGCUGGGAACCCAUAUACACCAGGCCCUAGGGGGCAGCUGAGUAUAAGCUGGGCC